rnacentral:rRNA from 1 species
UAGGGAAUCUUCGGCAAUGGACGAAAGUCUGACCGAGCAACGCCGCGUGAGUGAAGAAGGUUUUCGGAUCGUAAAACUCUGUUGUUAGAGAAGAACAAGGACGUUAGUAACUGAACGUCCCCUGACGGUAUCUAACCAGAAAGCCACGGCUAACUACGUGCCAGCAGCCGCGGUAAUACGUAGGUGGCAAGCGUUGUCCGGAUUUAUUGGGCGUAAAGGGAGCGCAGGCGGUUUCUUAAGUCUGAUGUGAAAGCCCCCGGCUCAACCGGGGAGGGUCAUUGGAAACUGGGAGACUUGAGUGCAGAAGAGGAGAGUGGAAUUCCAUGUGUAGCGGUGAAAUGCGUAGAUAUAUGGAGGAACACCAGUGGCGAAGGCGGCUCUCUGGUCUGUAACUGACGCUGAGGCUCGAAAGCGUGGGGAGCAAACAGG